AAGCAAAAGCUAAAAAUAAAUAAAUAAAAACGGUCUCCUAUCUAUCCAAGCAAGGAAAAGAGACCAAAGCAGAGAGAUUGUAGCCUGCGAAAACACAGAAACAGAACGGCACUCCCACUUCUCUAUCACACAUUCUUGACCGUACGAUCCAGUCAACUUUCAUACAACCAACUGCACUGAUCACAUCACCUUCACCAACUGUUAUGGGAGGAUUUUCCGUGUUCAUAUUUUAAAGAGCAGAUAUAGGUGGUUGAGGCAUAAUCAGAUGCAGUCCCAUCCUGGAGAAACUUUCCAUGUGUUAAAAAAGGAAGGAGAUGACUGCACUGGUUCACGUUACACAGGUCAUUUGAAUAGCUCUCUUCAGGAACCAAUUGAAGUUUCUUCUUCUUCGAAUGAGGAUAACUCUGAUGAUACAUGGGAUAUAGAUGACCAAUCAAUUGAAGAUUCCUCUAAACAGUUGGUUCUUUAUGACCCUUUGGCUAAUGAUGCUGGUGAAAUUGAACCUGUUCCUCAACCGAUCCUGUCCCACCAUCCAUUUAGAAGAUACUCAGACCUGAAUGUGCCUUCUAGAGUUUUGCCAUCUGUAGGAGCUUUUACUGUGCAAUGUGCCAAAUGUUUCAAGUGGAGGCUCAUCCCAACAAAACAGAAGUAUGAAGAAUUACGUGAACAUAUUCUGGAAGAGCCUUUUUUUUGUGAAACUGCUCGUGAGUGGCGGCCUGAUAUAUCAUGUGAUGAUCCAACAGACAUUGAUCAAGAUGGGAGUAGGCUGUGGGCAAUUGAUAAACCUAACAUUGCUCAGCCCCCUCCCGGGUGGCAAAGGUUGCUGAGAAUCAGGGGCGAAGGAAGUACCAAAUUUGCAGAUGUGUACUAUCAAGCACCGUCAGGCAAGAGACUUCGCUCAAUGGUGGAAAUCCAAAAGUACUUAAUUGAACAUCCAGAGUAUAUGAGAGAUGGUUUAACUCUCACACGGUUUUCAUUUCAAAUACCAAAGCCUCUGCAGGAAAACUAUGUGAGAAAAAAGCGUCCUCGUUUAUCAGCUUCAUGUGAUGAUGCUAGACCUCUUGAACCUGGUGAAGACAUAAAUCUGGAGGAAUGAGGUUCUGUAUUCAGACUCGACUAACUUUUGUCUUCUCACUUCUCAGCUUAGGGUAUGCAUGACUAAAGCAUCUGAAGCAAUUUAAAUGAAAUUUGCCCCUUUUCAUUUAGUUCUCUAAAGUUGCCACACGUUUUCUGGAGGAUUGCAAAAGUUGCACAGUUUGUAGUUUCUAAUUCCCUUGGUUAGGAUGUUUUAUUUUUUAUUUUUUUCAAUGUAAUUUUUUUCCCAGUUCUACAUGAAACAUAUAUAAAGUUAUUUAAAUAUGUGAGGGCCAGACCAUACUGCUACCAGUAUGCUUUUGCAUUCCAAAGAGGCCUCAAGCACCAUUCUCUUCUCACUUUUUCAAUGGAUUCUAGAAUCUGGGCCUGUCUUCAAAGAACAGCAAAGUUGAUUACACUGUGUUUUGAGUUUUAUUUUUCUUGUGAGGUGAAACCUGAAACUGAUCUGUCUAAUAUAUGUACCAUAUGUGGGUUCCUUACAUUAAUGCAGUGCACUCUUGCUGCUCCAUGUAAGGAGUAUAUUUUGUGGUCGAUCCAUGAAACCCAACACUAUUCAGGUUGGAUUGAUUCUGUAUUUAGAUCAUCUGGGUCUAUGUGGUUCUGGAACGUGGGGGCUGUCUCAUCGGAAUUGCAAAUCCCCUUAAAUGGGUUGGUCCAGGUGAUUGUACAGAACUCCAGCUUGGCCGGCCAGCAAUCCUACCUCCACCCUUGAUUCAGUCCUCUGCUUAUCUUCCUUUCUACUGGCCAGUAAAGAAGAAAGCAAGGACACCAUCGAAACAGAGUCACAGGACUAAUCCAGU